rnacentral:rRNA from 1 species
UACAGAGGUGGCAAGCGUUGUUCGGAAUUACUGGGCGUAAAGGGCGCGUAGGCGGUUCGUUAAGUCCUGUGUGAAAGCCCCCGGCUCAACUGGGGAGGGUCACGCGAUACUGAUCGACUCGAAGGCAGGAGAGGGUAGUGGAAUUCCCGGUGUAGUGGUGAAAUGCGUAGAGAUGUGGAGGAACACCAGUGGCGAAGGCGGCAUCCUGGACCGGCAUUGACGCUGAGGAGCGAGAGCCAGGGGAGCAAACGGG